rnacentral:ncRNA from 1 species
GUGUCACAACGGCUUCCUGGCGUGACAUGGCAAUUUGAAAUGGAGCA